ensembl:snRNA U5 U5 spliceosomal RNA
UGCCUUCCUUCUCUUCAGAUCAUAUCAAUAUUUUGCCUUUUAUUAAACAUUUCCAUGGAGAGAAACAUUUAUGAGUUUCUCCUCAUUUUUUUGAACAGCUCUUCCACUCUCUUGCAGU